rnacentral:lncRNA from 1 species
AAACCCAUAUAUGACCCGUUUAAUAAACGGGUUGGUGGGUUGGCGGGUUUAAAACUCAACCCAAACCCAUUUAUUUCGUGUCGUGUUGCGUGUCGUAUCGAGAAUUGCCAGCCCUAAACCUGCUAAUGACUACCACUACAUGACAAUAUAAGACUAGUUUUUUUUCUUCAAUAAACACAUUUCCCCUGUUGCACAAAUUUCAACCAUAUACAAUGUUUCCUAUCGAAAACAAUGAUAGACCACCAGGAUCAUUUUUUGUUGUUAACUCUACACAUAAUGGAAUUUGUAUGUAGUGUCGAAGGAAAAACGGUUUAAGAAAUUAUAAUGUUUUUACUAAUGACUUUCGAUUUUGACCAACUAAACUAUAUAAUUAGAAAUGAACGAAAAAGACAUUUCAGUUAUUGUAGUGUGUCGUUAUAGAAUGUGUUUUUUAAAGUGAAAACCGAAUCUUAUAUUUUUUUUUUUAUUUAUUCAUAAUUUCAAUUUGAAUGUUUACAAUGAAUCAAAGAAUAAAUAAUCAUGAAGAUCAGAAAUCGAUCAAUAAAGAAUAAAAAAUAUGGAUAUCAAGUUAGUAAGCAGGCUUAAAGGAAUCUAGAGGUCUUGCAUUCCACUGAAAUACCAUUGGGAAACCGUUUGCGGUCGUUGCAGUAGUUGUAGAUCAUGUGCUUGGUUUGCACCCAUCGGAUCCUAUUUCGGCCAGCUGCAUCAAGUCCUUGGGUACUCCAUGACUGGUUAUCAUUUAUUGAGCUUGUAGAUACUGAAUUGGGACCAACUUUUUUGGCAUUGGCAUUGAAUUUCCUGUAUAACGCGGUGAAAGGCGCAUUAGUCCAGUCGGUCUUCACACGCCCACCUUGGGUUGCCCAGUCAUCCGCGUUCCACAGGCUGGCAUAAACCCUCAUGGGUUGGCUCUUGGGAAAUGGGACUCCAGCAGCAUCAUUGUUAUUGAACACCCUUACUGGUAUGUUAUCUAUCAAGAAACUGCAGAGACAAAGAGCUUUAUAUAGGAACAGCAGAAAAACAUGAGAAAGGAAGAGAACCAAUUAAUGUUUAUGUUGGAUGCGUGACUUACAUAAUUCUUAGACUGUUCCAUACGAUGGUAUAGGUGUGGAAGGCUGCGGUAGGGUCAAACCAAAGGUGGAACUGCUGUUCUUUGUUUCCUUUCCCUUGUGAAUACACAUUGGUGUGAAUUGUGUAAGGGUUUCCCGUGGAGUUGCCCAAGAACUCGAAGUCGAUCUCAUCGUGACCCGCACCUUGUGAUGACAACUAAUGUGAUUUAAUACAAAGACAUGGUUAUUAUCAGCCUUUAAAAGAUUAAUACAAAUGAGUGAUCACAAUAUAUAUAUAAUUCAGAUAUGAAAUUCAAGAUUGGAACCGAUCGAUGGUACUCACGUAGAAUGUGGUGACGGUGCCAGCAGAAUUGCCUGGUACUAGUUUGAGUUGCAUGUCGAACCUUCCAAACAGGUACUCGUGCUUCGACUGGAAACCCGAUCCAGAGUAUUGGUCGAGUGAAAGUGAAAGAUCCUGACCUCCAUUCAGAAUUUUAGCACGUUCACCCCCAAAACUGAUGUCCAUGUCAUCGUAAAAACUCCCUGCUGAUGCUGCUACUAUUAGAAUUGAUAUUAAAAGAACAACUGCACAAAGAUUAGAGUUCGACUUUGCCAUUAUUGUUUGUAUGGAGAGAGAGAGAGAGAGAGAGAGAGAGAGAGAGAGAGAGAGAGAUGUUAUGUUUGUGAGAAGUAGUACUGAUAUCGUUUAUAUAGAGAGGUGUGGCUCCGUUGACAGUUUUCAAUUGGAACCAUCCUUGUUACUGAAGGAUGUCAUAAUGGCAAAUGGAUGCACCAAUAUCUAUUGACGCGUGCCAACUCACAUUAUUCUUCUGGACAAGGGCAGGAGCGGUGGGUUUUUUUUUCUAUACGUCUGGCAAAUCAAAAGUAGCAAAUUUGUCAUAUUUGGACCGGUGGUUGACAUCAUACCUAAAAUAAAAUUGUUUUAAUUGUUAAUAAGGGAAAAUAAAAUCCAUAAAACUAAUUAAAACUAAAACUAAUUAUAUAUCUGUCAGGUAAAGGGAACCAUCAGCACGGCGGACUACCAACUGAUUAACGAUUUAAUACAUAUCGUCGACAAAUAUAUAUGAAAUCUCGCUAAAUUAUCAAUAUUUUGCCCAUUUCGGUGUUAAAACUUAUUGAUGAUACAACUGUACGCAAAUUCCCCUAACAUCUUCCUUUUCAUUUAGUUUUAUUACCAAAUUCGACCAAUUUAUCCAAAAGAUUUGUGUCCCUCUCCCUCCUCGGCUUCCCCUUUAAAUGAAAACAUCACUUGUACGGAAUGGAGAUUUAUAUGAAAUGGAUCAAACUCAACUCUAUGUACAUUGAAUAGAAAAAUAUGGGAAGGAUAGCUACAAUAUGUUGUUUGAGAUUAUUUAUUUUUGGUUCAUUCAGAACAUUAUUAUUAUAUCAUGUUCAAUUAUAUUUCUUAACUAUCACAAUCUUAAAGUUGAUUAAAAGUCGGCAAAUAUUGAUUUCUUUGGAGUGGUUGGGAUCUUGAUUGAGUUCUUGAAAUUUAAUAGGGAAAGUAAAUUUGUGAUAGGCUUGAACAAGUACAUAGAUGUUAUAAUUUACUGUAGCGUGUGAAACCGAAGAUGACGUUUGAGGACGAGGACACUCCUUAAAGAGGGUAACUAAGAAAUUUACCAUUAUUUGUUUUUUUGAGUUCUCAAAUGUGUUGCAAUCUAAAAUGCAUGUUUAUAGGGAAAUAACAGCAGUUAAAACAAUUUGUCUUAGUCAUAACCUUGUAAUGUUGAUAAUUGAAUAUUUAUAUAUGUUAUAGAUUUUUUUUCUUAAUUUAACGGAUUCAUUGAAAGAAAUCAAGAAAAAAAAUGGUAUCAUGAAUGGGAUGAACAUUUAUCUACCAUGCGAACAUAAUGGAUAUCUAAACGAGGAUUGAAAUUAUCGUAACAAAACAUUACAUUAGUCUGAAAACAACAUGAUAUUUAGUGUCAAACCGAAAUCUAGUAGUUACAUAUGUCUUAUAUCUAUAAAUAUAUACCUAUAUAUCCAUCAGUGAAGGGAACCAAUAAUGAUAGACUUCUAAUUGAUCAACGAUUUAGUAAAGAUCAUAAACAAAGAUAUAUAAAAUCCCGCUAAUAUAGCAAAUUUGUACCUGUUUAGGUGUUAACACUUAUAUGUUGAUGUCUAUUUGAGCCCAAUAUGCAAUUAUUGUAUUUCGUUUUAGUUUUCAUAUUUGCUCGCAUGUUCUAUAACAAAGUUAAAAUUCUAGACUAUAGUUUUAACACAAAUAGUACUUGUUUAUCUUUUUAGUACAACUUACACCUAAAGUUAUUGUGAAGUCUUUCCUUGUAGCCACUCCGCAACAGGAGUCCAUGCUUUGUCUCUAUAGCGACCAUGAAAUGGAAAGGAACACCAGACUCCUCAAGUAACAAUCUCAUCGACAAACACAUAUGAAAUCUCACUAAAUUUCCAACUUUUUUACCUAUUUCGGUGGUAACACUUAAUGAUGAUAAAACCGGAUGCAAAUUCCCCCAAAGAUCUUCUUUUCAUUAAGUUUCAUUACUAAAUUCAAUCAAUUAAUCUAAAAUUGUGAUUUCCCUCUCCUUCCUCGGUUUUCCCUUUAAAUGAAAGCAUCACUUGUACGAAUAAGAGAUUUAUAAGAAAUGGAUCAAAUGCAACUCUACUUGUAUUAAAUAAAGAAAUAUAGGAAGGAAACCUACAAUUUGUUUUUCAAGAUUAUUUAUUCUUAAUUCAUUAUACUUUAUCCAUUAUUAUAUUAUGUACAAUUAUAUUUUUAGCAAUCACAUUCUUAAUGUUAAUUAAAAGUUAUCAUAAAAAGAAAAGGUUGGGAUCUUGACUGAUUUCUUGAAAUUUGGAAGGGAAAGUAAAUUCAUCAUAGGAUUGAUGUUGUGACUGCAAUUUACUAUAGGUGUGAAAUUGAAGAUGUCGUUUGAGGACGAGGAACCUCUUUAAAGAGGCUACAUAAGAAAUUACCAUUUAAUGGUGAUAACUGAAUAUUUAUAUUUGUUAUAGUUUUUUUCUUAAAUUUAACGGAUUUAUUGAAAAAAACCAAGAAAAAAAUGGUAUCAUGAAUGGGAUGAACAUGUAUCUACCAGUGAACAUAACACAUAUUUACACGAGAGAUUGAAACUAUAGUAACAAAACAUUAGAUUAGUCUCAAAACAACAUGAUAUUUAGUUUCAAACCGACAUCUAAUAGUUAUUCAUGUCUCAAAUGUAUAAAUACAUACAAGCAUUAUUAGCUAUUCAACGUUGGCUUCCAGUUCAUUAAGGAUUUAAUACAAAUCAUCGACAAAUAUAUAUGAAAUCUUCCUGAUUUAGCACAUUUUUACCCAUUUUGGUGUUAAAACUUAUAUGUUGCAGUCUAUUUGAGCCUAAUAUGCAAUUAUUGUAUUUUUAUUAAGUUUUCAUUUGUGCUUGCAUCUUCUGUAACAAUGUUAAAAUUCUGGACCUUAUUUUUUAGAUAAAUACACUAAUAGAAAAAUAUCCUUUAAUGACAAGAAUUGCGUGUCAUAGAAGGAUACAUAUGACACGCAAAUGCGUGUCACUGAAGGGCCUAUCAUAAAGGAAGACCAAGCGCAUUUAUGUGUCGUAACCUUACGACACGCAUUUACGACACACAAUGCGUAUCAUUAAAGCUUGUGUCAUAAAGAAAGACAAUUUUAAAGGUUUUAAAAAAAUAUUUUUUUAAAUGGAUUUAAUAAUUUCCAAAUUAGAUGACAAUUAUUGUCUCAAAAUAUAAAAUAGCAUAUCAUUAAAAAAAAGACAAUCCAUUUAAAAAUAUAUAGUAUGUCAAAUAAUAAUAAUCAUUCCAAUGUUUAAAUAAAUGUAAUACAAAAACUAUUUCAUCAUAUCUUAUCAAUUCCCCUAACAAUACACCAUCUCCGAUUAAGACUUGUAUUCAGACCAAUUCACCUACCUCAAACGCAACAAUUGAAACAUGAGACCCAACCGAUCCUUUAUAUAGUCCCUUUGGUCCUUUAUCUUUCCAUAUUAGCCCAGGGACCUCUAAGAUUCACAUGUGUUUCUUCAAUCCAUUUUUUGGUCGAUUCUAUGACACCAAAGUAUGCUACACCUAUUGCAAGAGAUCCAGUUACGCCAGUUGCCUCCUCUCUAUAGAAAAAACAAUACUCAAAAACUAAUAGCAAGUGAUAUAAUAUUAAAUGAAUAAAUGUUUGAUUCGACUAGAGAUUCCAUCAAUGACAGUCACACGUGUGUUUCUCCUUCAUUGCUCCAGGAUUCUUUUCCACUUUCAUUUAAUUUACCAAGAAUCCAAAUGGUUGCAAAUUAAAUAAAACAAGAUUAAUAAAAAAAAAAAGGUUUCUUAUUUCUUUAAUGGGUUACAUAAAAGUCACCAUUUUAGCUUUCAUGGAUUCAUCUUCUAAGUUAUCACAACUGUUAUUAAUACAAAAACCAUGUAUAACAACCUACAUAGUUUUAUCUUCUAUUUCAGGAUGGUAAUAAAAUGGAGAAUCGAUUUGCUAAAUGCACAGUAAUACCAUACAUUUACAAACUCCCCUACAGAAAAUUUAGCAAGCAAAAGCAAACAUUCCAUGAAAAUAAACUAUCUAUAGUCUUUUUCGUAUUAGAAAGCACAAACCUAAAGGAAAAUUAAGAACGCUAACACUAAAUCAUCAAUAAAAAUCGUCAAACUAAUUACAAAGUAACAAUCGGAUUUUGUAACAAAUGAAAACAAUUUCCAAUCAUAAUCAAUAUUUCAAACCUAAAAAGAUUCAAAAAAUAAUAUACUUAUAAAGCGAAUAAGUUAUUACCAAGUUAGAGAGAGAGAGAGAGAGAGAGAGAGAGAGAGAGAUCGGGUACAUUGGAGGCUUGCUGAGGCUUAGGUGACAUCAAUGUUCACUCUAGUCUCUAGUAACGACAUGUACUCCGGCAAAGACAACUGCACAAUGGAGGGAAGAUUUUAGGCGGCCAAGUCAGAGGAGUCAUGAGAGAACGAGUGUUAAUGAAUAAGAAAGAGAGAAUAAGAAAUGAUGUGUGUAAAGGACGAGAUUUAAUGAACCCUAUAAACCUAAACAUUUUGUAGAGCUGCAAAAAGAUGAAAGAGAGAUGCACAACCGCGAAAUGUCAUUAGGUUUCUUCGGUAGAUGAUUGUAUAGAAGAAGGAGGAGACGCAUCAUAGACAUCAAAAUGACGAAUGGGAGAUGAUUAGAGAACAAGGCACCGAGGUUUUUUAAUAUUUUCGGGAUUUCAACCCCCCCCCCCUACUAAUUAUUAAAGGAUGGGAAAUGUGUGUCAUUCUUCAUGAAAACUUACAAAAUGACAUGCUUAUACGACAUGCUUUUUUUUAUAGGUACCCUCCAUGUUUUUUUGUGACAUUAAUUUUAGGGCACGCAAAAAUGUGUCUCCUAAAUGCUUCAAAUUUUGGGAGAGCUGAACCCUUGCAUUAAAAUAAUCCACUAAAGAGGGGGUCCAUAACAUAGCCAUAGUAUAUUUCCAAUGCAAUAAAGUUACGUAGUGUCAUUUUUCUUUCAUAAAGGGGUAUUUCCAUGGGUUUGCCUUCGUAUUGUGUCCAUACCGUUGUAUUGAAUGAUUCGGACGCUUGCUUUCUGUUCAUAUAAUGCAUACAGCUUUGGUCGCUGGUUGGGCCGGUUCUAUGGCCCAGUAUGAAUUAGCAGUUUUUGAUCCUUCUGACCCUGUUCUUGAUCCAAUGUGGAGACAGCGUAUGUUCGUUAUACCCUUCAUGACUCGUUUAGGAAUAACCAAUUUAUGGGGUGGUUGGAGUAUCAUGGGGACUUUUAUGUAUCAUAAAUCAGUGUGUGUUAUGGUUCGCGUGACAUUAAAGGGCUGUUUUUUUAGUAGUGAUAGUACUUUUUAAUCUUUUUAGUACAACUUACAACUAAAGUUACCGAGAAGUCUUUCGUUGUAGCAACUCCGUAAUAGGAGCCCUUUCCUUUGUCUUCAUAGCGACAAUGUGGUUGAAAGAAAGAUCAGGCUCCUCAACUCACAAUAUCCCAGGUGGAAAAUAAUCAACCAAUCUUCUGCCACCUAAACUUAAUCUUUGUUAACCACAUCUCUCUAUAGGCCUUCCUUCUUUCCUACUAUCUUUCCAAGUAUUUGGAAACCAAUUGAAGCUUUACAUAGAUUCAACUUCUGUAGCAUGAUUGCCUUGGAAAACAUGUCUACUAGAUUCUUAGUACCAAGGAUCUUCUUCGGGUUCCGAGUCCAAUGGCUUAUUGAUUGUUUGAUAAACCGUUACUUUAUCUACACAUAUUUUGUUCUAUCAUGAAUGAUUAGAUUCUUUGAAAGGUGAAAUGCACUGUGCUUUUAAUAAAGUAGGACACAGUCUUUUUUUUGCCCAAAUAUAUGAAAAUUUUCAACCAAAUAAGUUCUAAGAAUAAUUUUUUCAAUUUCCAUUCAUUAUGCUUCUAUGGUUAAUAGAUGAAUACUCUUUCCAAAGUGUACAUGGAUAUCCAACUGAUGGUUAUACCCGCAAUGGUAUACAAAAACCCUGUUAUGGUUUUCCCUAAAUAUCUAGAACCUCUCUUAUCUACAUCAUUGAAGCCUUCUAAGACUAGUUUCUUUCUUCUGAAAGGUAAGGUAACCACAUAAGUGCUUUUCAAAUAGCAUAACGACCACUUCAUCCCUUCCUAAUUUUUUUUUCUUGUAUUUUACAAAAACCUGCUACUGCCUCCCACUACAUUACAAUUUAAGAUCUAGUGCAUAACGUAUCAUACAUGAAGUUACAAUUAACUAAGGCGUACGAGACUUUAGUCAUUUCUUCCACAUACAAUGUUUCCUAUCGAAAACAAUGAUAGACCACUAGGAUCAUUUUUUGUUGUUAAUUCUGCACAUAAUGAAGUUUGUAUGUAGUGUCGAAAAAAAAGGAUUUUAGAAAUUAUAAUGUUUUUACUAAUAACUUUCGAUUUUGACCAACUAAACUAUAUAAUUAGAUAUGAACGAAAAAGAUAUUUCAAUUAUUGUAGUGUGCUGUUAGACAAUGCGUUUUUAAAGUGUACAUGGAUGUCAAGUUAGUAAGCAGGCUUAAAGGAAGCAGGCUUAAAGGAAUCUAGAGGUCUUGCAUUCCGCUGAAAUACCAUUGGGAAACCGUUUGCGGUCGUUGCAGUAGUUGUAGAUCAUGUGCUUGGUUUGCACCCAUCGGAUCCUAUUUCGGCCAGCUGCAUCAAGUCCUUGGGUACUCCAUGACUGGUUAUCAUUUAUUG